rnacentral:rRNA from 1 species
GAUGAACGUUGGCGGCGUGCCUAAUACAUGCAAGUCGAACGAAGACUGUAGUAAUACUGUCUUAGUGGCGAACGGGUGAGUAACGCGUGGGUGACCUGCCCCGAAGUGUGGGAUAACAGUCCGAAAGGAUUGCUAAUACUGCAUAAUAUCCAAGAGAUUAGAUGCUUUUGGAUUAAAAGGAGUAAUUCGCUUCGGGAGGGCCCGCGUCCCAUCAGCUAGUUGGUAAGGUAAUGGCUUACCAAGGCGAUGACGGGUAGGGGACCUGAGAGGGUGGCCCCCACAAUGGAACUGAAACACGGUCCAUACACCUACGGGUGGCAGCAGUAGGGAAUAUUAGUAAUGGGCGAAAAGCCUGAACUAGCAACGCCGCGUGUGCGAAG